rnacentral:rRNA from 1 species
GACGAACGCUGGCGGCGUGCCUAAUACAUGCAAGUCGAGCGAAGUUUUUCUGGUGCUUGCACUAGAAAAACUUAGCGGCGAACGGGUGAGUAACACGUAAAGAACCUGCCUCAUAGACUGGGACAACUAUUGGAAACGAUAGCUAAUACCGGAUAACAGUAUUUCUCGCAUGAGAGAUAUUUAAAAGUUGGUUAUGCUAACACUAUGAGAUGGCUUUGCGGUGCAUUAGCUAGUUGGUGGGGUAAAGGCCCACCAAGGCGACGAUGCAUAGCCGACCUGAGAGGGUGAUCGGCCACACUGGGACUGAGACACGGCCCAGACUCCUACGGGAGGCAGCAGUAGGGAAUCUUCCGCAAUGGGCGAAAGCCUGACGGAGCAACGCCGCGUGAGUGAAGAAGGAGUUCGGUUCGUAAAGCUCUGUUGUUAGGGAAGAAUGGAUAUGUAGUAACUGUACAGGUAAGAGACGGUACCUAAGCAGAAAGCCACGGCUAACUACGUG